ensembl:lncRNA
UUUUGGGGGAUUUUUUUUGGAUUUUUUUGGAUUUUUUAAGGAUUUUUGGGGAUUUUUUGGGGAUUUUUUGGGAUUUUUUUAGGAUUUUUUAAGGAUUUUUUUGGGAUUUUUUGGGGAUUUUUUGGGAAUUUUUUGAGAUUUUUUUCGGAUUUAUUUGUGAUUUUUUGAGGAUUUUUUGUGAAUUUUUGUGAAUUUUUGGGGGAUUUUUUAAGGAUUUUUUUAGGGUUUUUUUGGGGAUUUUUGUGAAUUUUUUGGGGAUUUUUUUGGGAUUUUUUUUGGGAUUCUUUGGGAUUUUUUGGGUAUUUUUUGGGGAUUUUUUUGGGAUUUUUUUAGGAUUUUUUUGGGAUUUUUUGAGAUUUUUAAGGAUUUUUUAAUGAUUUUUUUGGGAUUUUUUGGGGAAUUUUUUGAGAUUUUUUUAGGAUUUUUUAAGGAUUUUUUAAUGAUUUUUUGGGGAUUUUUUGGGGAAUUUUUGGGGAUUUUUUUAGGAUUUUUUAAGGAUUUUUUAAUGAUUUUUUGGGGAUUUUUUUGGGAAUUUUUUGGGAUUUUUUUAGGAUUUUUUAAGGAUUUUUUUAUGAUUUUUUGGGAAUUUUUUGUGAAUUUUUUGGGAUUUUUUUGUGGCAGAAAGACGAUGAAGAUGAAGAUGAAGAUGAAGACGAAGCAGAGGAAGAGGAGGCCGAGGAAGGCCCCGGGCAGGCGCGCCGAGCGCACGGCGUGGGUGCCGAAGAUGAUGAUGAAGAUGAAGAUGAAGAUGAAGAAGAUGAAGAUGAAGGUGAAGAAGAUGGAGAUGAAGAAGACAAAGAUGAAGAAGACAAUAAAGAACAUGAAGAAGAUGAAGAUGAAGAUGAAGAAGAUGAAGAACAUGAAGAAGAUGAAGAUGAAGGUGAAGAUGAAGGUGAAGAAGAUGAAGAUGAAGAAGAUGAAGAUGAAGAAGACAAUGAGGAACAUGAAGAACAUGAAGAUGAAGUUGAAGAUGAAGGUGAAGAUGAAGGUGAGGAUGAAGAUGAAGAAGAUGAACAUGAAGAUGAAGAAGAAGAAGAAGAUAAAGAAGAAGGUGAAGAAGACGAUGACGAAGAUGAAGAUGAGGGAGAUGAAGAUGAAGAAGAUGAAGGUGAAGAAGAUGAAGGUGAAGGUGAAGAAGACAAUGACGAAGAUGAAGAUGAAGAAGAUGAAGAAGAUGAAGGUGAAGAUGACGAUGAAGAAGACGAUGACGAAGAUGAAGAUGAAGAAGAUGAAGAUGAAGGUGAAGAAGGCGAUGACGAAGAUGAAGAAGACGAUGACGAAGAUGAAGAAGAAGAAGAUGAAGAAGAUGAAGAUGAAGGUGAAGAAGAUGAAGAAGAUGAAGAUGAAGAAGACGAUGACGAAGAUGAAGCAGAAGAAGAUGAAGAAGAUGAAGAUGAAGGUGAAGAUGAAGGUGAAGAAGACGAUGACGAAGAUUAAGAUGAAGAAGAUGAAGAUGAAGGUGAAGAAGAUAAAGAUGAAGAUGAAGAAGAAGAAGAUGAAGAAGAUGAAGAAGAAGAUGAAGAAAAUGAAGAUGAAGAUGAAGAAGAUGAAGGUGAAGAACAUGAAGAUGAAGAUGAAGGUGAAGAAGACAAUGACAAAGAUGAAGAAGAUGAAGGUGAAGAAGAUGAAGAUGAAGAAGAUGAAGAUGAAGGUGAAGAAGAUGAAGAAGAUGAAGAUGAAGAAGACAUGAAGGUGAAGAAGAUGAAGAAGAUGAAGAUGAAGAAGACGAUGACGAAGAUGAAGAUGCAGAAGAAGAAGAAGAUGAAGAAGAAGAUGAAGAAGAAGAUGAAGAAGACAAUGACGAAGAUGAAGAUGAAGAUGAAGAAGAUGAAGAAGAUGAAGAUGAAGAAGAAGAUGAAGAAGACAAUGACGAAGAUGAAGAUGAAGAAGAUGAAGAAGAAGAACAUGAAGAUGAAGGUGAAGAAGAUGAAGAUGCAGAUGAAGACCACCCCCGUCUCCCCCGCUCACCAGUAGAAGACGCAGCUGACCUCCAGCCAGGUGAGGGCGCUCCUGUCCUGCCGCAGCCACCGCAGCCCCUCCUGCGCCCACCUGGAC